rfam:Rhodopirellula maiorica SM1 cSM10717, whole genome shotgun sequence.
CCCACGGCUCACGCCGUGGGCUACAUCCUGACGUCCCUAUCGGGACU